rnacentral:lncRNA from 1 species
AUGUCACGGCAAACCCUCGCGACCAAAGAGAAGAGAAAGAGAAGAGGGUCCGCCCCAGGGAAGGGCCGGGGGGGCGGCGGCGGCGGCGGCGGCGGGGCUGAGGGCAGCACCGCGCGCGCCGCCCGAAGGCCGCGGCGGUGGGCAGGGCGCACGCGGGGCGACCCCGAGCGGAAGGUCCGCAGCCGGGGGGCGCUCGGGGUCGGCCGACGGGAGGCCCCAGCGGAGCCCCGAGCGGCUCCGAGGGGCGUCCGAGGGGCUGCGCCGGGGCGGGCAGGGGGGCCCCGCGGGCCGGCACGGGGUCUGGCCAAUCCCGACACGAGGGGUGGGGUCUCCCCGGGACCCGCUCGCGGGGCGUCUCCGCUGGGGCGGGGCGGGGCGGCCCCGCAGGAGCGCAGGAGCGCAGGAGCCCAGGAGCGACUCCGAGACGUGGGCUGGGCCGGGCCGGGCCGGGCAGGGCCGCGGGGCGGCCGGGGCGGGUCUUACCUCGGGCUCCGCCGCGGUGGCCGCCACGGCCCCCUCCUCUUCGCCAGGAGCCGCCCCCGCCCGCGGCCGCGAGGUCAGGCCGCCCGCGACGGCGGAGGCUCGAGCCGCCGAGGGUCGCCGCGUUCCGGAGGGUGGGCCCAGCAGCCUCAGGGGCCGGGACGGCAGCCGCCGCGCAUCCCCCGCCCUGUCAGAGAGACUCCGCCCGGCCCGGGCAGGCGCAUCCCCCGCGCACCCCGCCCGGAGAGCACGCGUCGGGCCGCCGCCGCCUCAGCCGCCGCCGCCGCCUCAGCCGCCUCAGCCGCCUCAGCCGCCGCCUCUCUCAGUCCUUGCGGCGCUCGGCUGCCACCGCCAACCGCCGCCGCGUCCCCGGUCCGCUCGGGCCCGCGCGCCCCCGACCCCGCGCACGCGGCCCCGCCCCGCGCGACUCGGCUGCAGACGAGCAGGCGCGCGCGCACUCACCUCCCACGCCCCCUCCCGCCCGCCCGAGCCGGCCGCCUGCCGGCCCGGCCCCCGCACGUGACGCCGCCGGAGGGGGCCGCAGGCGCCUGCGCGGCCACGCCCCGUCCGUCCGCCCCGGGCGGCCCCGCCCACACGUCUCUUCCUCACCUUACGGCAGAGCUCGGAACCGCGCCUCAGAUUCUCCCUCCACUGGAGAGGAAUGUCGCAAGGUCGGGGUAG